rnacentral:rRNA from 1 species
AUUGAACGCUGGCGGCAGGCCUAACACAUGCAAGUCGAACGGUAGCACAGAGAGCUUGCUCUCGGGUGACGAGUGGCGGACGGGUGAGUAAUGUCUGGGAAACUGCCCGAUGGAGGGGGAUAACUACUGGAAACGGUAGCUAAUACCGCAUAACGUCGCAAGACCAAAGUGGGGGACCUUCGGGCCUCACACCAUCGGAUGUGCCCAGAUGGGAUUAGCUAGUAGGUGGGGUAAUGGCUCACCUAGGCGACGAUCCCUAGCUGGUCUGAGAGGAUGACCAGCCACACUGGAACUGAGACACGGUCCAGACUCCUACGGGAGGCAGAAGUGGGGAAUACUGCACAAUGGGCGCAAGCCUGAUGCAGCCAUGCCGCGUGUAUGAAGAAGGCCUUCGGGUUGUAAAGUACUUUCAGCGGGGAGGAAGGCGGUGAAGUUAAUAACUUCACCGAUUGACGUUACCCGCAGAAGAAGCACCGGCUAACUCCGUGCCAGCCGCCGCCGUAA